rnacentral:rRNA from 1 species
GUUUCGGAUGGAAGUUUAGAACUUAGGUGGCGGACGGGUGAGUAACGCGUGGGUAACCUGCCUCAUACAGGGGGAUAACAGUUAGAAAUGACUGCUAACACCGCAUAAUAUAGCGAAACCGCAUGAUUUUUGCUAUCAAAUAUUUAUAGGUAUGAGAUGGGCCCGCGUCUGAUUAGCUAGUUGGUGGGGUAAAAGCCUACCAAGGCGACGAUCAGUAGCCGGCUUGAGAGAGUGACCGGCCACAUUGGGACUGAGACACGGCCCAAACUCCUACGGGAGGCAGCAGUGGGGAAUAUUGGACAAUGGGGGAAACCCGUGAUCCAGCGACGCCCGCGUGAGUGAAGAAGUAAUUUCGGUAUGUAAAGCUACUAUCAGCAGGGAAGAUAAUGACAGUACCUGACUAAGAAGCCCCGGCCUAACUACGUGCCAGCAGCAGC